GCAAGAAGCAAUGGAUAGGGUUAUGGUCAACAGGACAACAGUUAUUGUAGCCCAUCGAUUGAGCACAAUGAGGAAUGCCUAUAUGAUUGCCGUGAUUCAACAAGGAAAGAUGUUUGAAAAAGGCACUUUUAUCCAUUGGAAAGUAACUAAUUGAAGUUCUAGAUGUUCUUCUAAGAUGGUUUGGUGUGCGAUUCUGCGAAUCUAACUCAUCAUGCCUGGUGAAGGUGCUGGAAUUCCUUCAUGAACUUUUUGAUACGUUGAGGAAUGAGGGAUACACCAUUACUGAAUCAGAGGCUGUCAAUUUUUUUCCCUGCUUGAUUGAUAAGGUUACUUGUGUUGCUGCUGCUUUAACAGAUGCAAUACUUGCUGUGAAAGAUCAUAAGGAUCUUUUUCAUUGGGUAUCGAGGCAACUUACUGGAUCAAGUGUUUUUUCUGAUGCUUCACAUUUGCUAAAACCAGUUGCCUCUGCUAUGACGGAUAAAUCAGCGGAAGUUUGCAAGGCAGCAAAAGCAUGCAUUGGUGAAAUUUUAAGAGUUUGCGGACCAGAAACUCUGCGUUGGCUUCAAAAUUCUUUGGUGUUACCUUUGGUUUGUUGAAAUUUAUAGAACUCUUGAUAUUAUUAUAAUUAUCAUUUUUCUUGGUGACAAAAAAUUUAAAAGAUAUACAUGGACCUGCCUUGGCUAUUGUUCUCGAACGGCUGAUGCCAUAUAGGGCUUUUCAAGGAAAACGUUUGAAUCAGCAAUAAACAAUACCAACAUCUAAAAUUGGCUCAAAGGCUAGGAAGUCUAGUAUCAACGAUCUUGGAGAUCGUGUACCAUGGCAUGUGAUAGGGGAAAAGGUACAAUAGUCAGCAACAAAGGAAAAGCCGAGGGCCAAUCGGAAGCAAUCAAACAGUUACAAAUUCAAAAGAGUUAGACGAUAAAGUAAAAUAGAAAUUCGAUUUCCUGGGAAGUCUUCUUAAAGUUGCAACAAACUAAUUUUCCACGGUAGCUAUAAAGUAGGUCCAUAGCAACCAAUCAGGUACAAUAAAAAUUAUCACCUUACUGCUCUGUUUAUUUUACUGGUGACUGACUUUACCAUCAGAGGGUUUUUGGCAGGCACCAAACCGGUGUCAAAGCAGUGCCAUUUCGGAUCAACUGAAGACGAGGGAGUUACGGAAGCAAUGGUUCAUGGCCUGAGUCAAUUAUAUCUUUUCAAUAUAUGACAAUCCAGUCUCUGCCUUUGUUAAAUGUUAAGGUUCAAACAGGGUAUAUUGGAUAGUAAUAUAACAUCAAGUUCCGAUUGUGUUUUAUUUAGUGCACCGUCACUUGAGGAAUGAGGGAUACACCAUUAUUGAAUCGAAGGCUGCCAUUUAUUUCCUGUGCUUGAUUGUGAAGGUUCUUUUUGUAGCCCUGAACUGCCUCAAUUAGUCCCAUCACCUUCGCAGUUUCUAAUGCUGCUUGAUUGAGAAGUUUUUUUUGUGGCCCUGAAGUGCUUCAAUUAGUCCCGUCACCUUUGCAGUUUCUAAUGCUGCAUUGUGGUUGGUCAUGUUUUACCAAAACCUGCUAACCAACUUGAAGUAUGGUAGCUCGCAGUUUUAAGACUAAACUUCCUAGAAGAUGCCAAACUGAUCAUUUCUUUCUUUAUAAAGCAAAGUAGUUGCAUCUAGUUCCAUUUUCUUAUGUUAGUUGACCAACCUUUCUCUUAAAAGGGAUCGUAGUAAUUGUGGUUGUAUUUUUGUGCAUUAUAGUCAUGCUUGUCUAAUAUAAUGACUAUUCAAUGUCCAUUUUAGGUGUCUUAUGUUGCUGCUGCUUUGACAGAUGCAAUACUUGCUGUGAAAGAACGUAAGGAUCUUUUUUAUUGGGUAUGGAGGCGACUUAUUGGAUUAACAAGCUGCCUCUGCUAUGACGGAUAAAUCAGCAGAAGUUUGCAAGGCAGCAAAAGCAUGCAUUGGUGAAAUUUUAAGGGUUUGCGGACCAGAAACAGUGACCAAAAAUUUGGAAGAUGUAUGUGGACCUGCCUUGGCUAUUGCUCUUAAACGGCUGCAACUGUCACUAGGACUGAUGUGCCGGAUAUUACAGACAGAAUGGUUAUCCGAAGGUCUAAAUUCUAAGAGCCACGGUCAGAGCAAAUUCAAGAACUCGAGAAUGGUCUUUUGAAGUAUUUCAGAGAAGAUCUGCACAGGAGGCUUCUUAGCACAGACUUAAAGAAGCAAGUUGAUGGUAUUGAGAUGCUGCAGAAGGUGCUUUCGCUGUCACAUUUGUGGUUACUUGGACUUGCUCAGAAUAUGUGAUUGGUUAUAUAAUUUUAGUUUGUGUUGGCUCUCCAGUCACUUUUAACCAUUGGAAAGGAACUAAUUGAAGUUCUAGAUGUUCUUCUAAGAUUGUUUGGUUUGCGAUUCUGCGAAUCUAAGUCAUCUUGCCCAUUGAAGAUGCGCCGCGAAAGAGCUUAAGGUUCCUUUUUAUUGGGUAUUGAGGCAACGUACUGGAUUAAGUGAUUUUUCUGAUGCUUCACAUUUGCUAAAACCAGCUGCCUCUGCUAUGACGGAUAAAUCAGCGGAAGUUUGCAAGGGUGGAAAAGCUUGCAUUGGUGAAAUUUUAAGAGUUUGCGGACCAGAAACACUGCGUUAGCUACAAAAUGCUCAGAAUAUGUGAUUGGUCAUAUAAUUGUAGUUUAUGUUGGCUUUCCUGGCACUUCCAUUCUUUGGAAAGGAACUAAUUGAAGUUCUAGGUGUUUCUUCUAAGAUGGCUUGGUUUGCGAUUCUACAAAUCUAACACAUCACGCCUAUUGAAGGUGCUGGAAUUUCUUCAUGAACUUUUUGUUACGCUGAGGAAUGAGGGAUACACCAUUACUGAAUCGGAAGCUGGCAUUUUUUUCCACUGCUUUAUUGAGAAGGUUCUUCUUUGUAUCCCUGAACUGCUUCAAUUUCUAAUGCUGUGCAUUGUUGUAUGUCAUAUUUGACCCAAAGCUGCUAACCAACUUGAAGUAUGGUAGCUGGCAGUUUUUAGCCUAACCUCCCUAGAAGAUGCCAAACUGAUCUUUUCUUUCCUUUAAAGGUGAAGUACUUCAAGAAUGCAUCCGGUUCCAUUUUCUUUUGUGAGUUAACCCAGCUUUUUCUUAGGAGGGAUUGUAGUAUUUCUGGUUGUAUAUUACUUGGAUUGGCUCUCUCAUAUUGAGAAAUUUUGCUAGAGGCAUUCUUCUUCUUGUUCCUCUUCUUUUUUCUUUUUCUAAUAGUGUCAGUAGGCUGGUGGGUAGGUUUUGGCAGUUCUUCUACUUUUUCUUUUUCUUUUUGUAUCAGUGGGUUGGUGGGUUGGUUUUUUGGCAGUACCCUAGUAUGAUAAUUUAUGCAUACUUAUCAUGUAUAUUUGUUUAAUUUAUUUAUGUAUUCGUGUCUAGAAAUACAUGCCAUAAACUUUGAAUUGUUCAAUCAAGGGUCAAUUAAAAAGAUAAAAGUUUGGAAACACAAUUUUGAAAUUGAUUCUGAUUAAACAUAGAAGUUUGAAUACUUUCUAGUAAAAGUUUCGGUUUAUUUAUUUCUUUAUAGUAAGAAACUUGUGAAAUUAUUCGCACACACACUAACUCACAUUUAUAUGAUCUUUCUUCAAAGUUGUGAACUUAGACUCAAAUAACGAGUAACAUCUUAAGGUAAUAUAAGAUGAUGGCAUUUGAAAAAAAAAAGUGAGGUGCAAUGCAAAAAGGAAAGAAAAAAAAAAAGCCUGUUUUUGCAGUUGAAAAGAAACGAAAAAUCUCCAAUGAGAUAGCUGCAAAAAGUUUCUUAUGAAAAAGGCUACCUAGUGAGAUCAGACCGAAAGCUUCCUUGACUCGAAAAAAAUGGGAAUAAGGGAAAAUAGCUGGCUACUCAUUAGAGUGAAAGCCGUCAUAGAAACACAAAAGAAAAAAACAGGAGAGGUUUCAAAAAGAAAAGAGCGAAAAUUCACCUGCUUUUAUAAUCUUUGCAUCUUUUGUGUGAAAUUUAUUUUUGUUUUUGAACACAAAUUUGACACUGAUUAUAUUUAUGUUGAGUUUAUUUCUAAUGCACAUAUAAUGGACUAAGUUGACUACUAUUGAUUUAUAAAUGGGCUAGAAAUCUUUGAACCUAAUUAGGAGAAUUUUUAUAUUUAUAAAGAUAAUAGAAUAAAAAUUUGUGGGUCCAAAUAAUGUUCAAUUUUAUUGUUGAUUUAUUGACACUUCGAAAACUUUGGCAUGUUUAGAUUUAUAUAUUUAUAUAUGUGUCUUUGCAUAUCAUCACAAAAUUGAAAAAUUACAAAAAUAUAUUUCUUUAUAAUUUUGUUUAUUUGUGUCUUUAUUUAUUUAUUUGAUCAUAUGAGAGAUCAUGUAGGGUGUAUGAGGACAUAAAAUUGCAAAAGAAGCAAAUUAGGGCAUUUUUAGGUACGUCGCUCGAAGCCAUAGCAAGGCUCCAUCGAUCGACCCUUGAAAUCAAAUCAAUCGAUGCAAGUGUCACUCAGUUCCAGUGAGUUUUCAACUCGUCUGUGUCUCAUUUGGCCUACCAGCAUCAGUUGGACAGUGUGUUCCUGAAACUGCAUUAAGAAAACGCCGUGGCCACCUAUCAAAACUGUCAGAACAGCGUCUAGAAGUUCCACUGUGCCUCCUUGCCUAUCUCUACAAACCAGAGGUUCUGGUUCUGAUAGCAGGAGCCCUAUCCGCAAUUAUUAAUGAAGAAGUGAGUUGUGCUCAGAAGGAAAGCAUAAUAGUUGGAACUACUCAAGGAUCCUGAUGGAGCAUACUCGCAGCCCCCAACAGUGACAACAAUUGUGGAUAUUAGAGCUGCAGCUUAGCUAGUACACCACGCCAUGGUGGGUGAUCGUGGAAUUCCGCUGUUUGGUCGAUGGAAGCAACGAGUUGCCCUAGCCAGAGUAAUUCUGAAGGCCCCCAAAUUCUACUUCUAAAUGAAUCAACGAGUGCUCUUGAUGCUGAAUCUGAGAGGAUUGUGCAAGAAGCAAUGGAUGGGGUUAUGGUCAACAGGACAACAGUUAGUGUAGCCCAUCGAUUGAGCACAAUGAGGAAUGCCUAUAUGAUUUCCGUGAUUCAUCAAGGAAAGAUGUUUGAAAAAGGCACUUUUAUCCAUUGGAAAGGAACUAAUUGAAGUUCUAGAUGUUCUUCUAAGAUGGUUUGGUAUGCGAUUCUGCGAAUCCAACUCAUCAUGCCUAGUGAAGGUUACUUGAGUUGCUGCUGCUUUAACUGAUGCAAUACUUGCUGUGAAAGAUCAUACGGAUCUUUUUCAUUGGGUAUCGAGGCCACUUACUGGAUCAAGUGAUUUUUCCGAUGCUUCACAUUUGCUAAAACCAGUUGCCUCUGCUAUGACGGAUAAAUCAGCGGAAGUUUGCAAGGGUGCAAAAACUUGCAUUGGUGAAAUUUUAAGAGCUUGCGGACCAGAAACAGUGCGUUGGCUUCAAAAUGCUCAGAAUAUGUGAUUGGUUAUAUAAUUGUAGUUUAUGUUGGCUUUCCUGGCACUUCCAUUCUUUGGAAAGGAACUAAUUGAAGUUCUAGGUGUUUCUUCUAAGAUGGCUUGGUUUGCGAUUCUACAAAUCUAACACAUCACGCCUAUUGAAGGUGCUGGAAUUUCUUCAUGAACUUUUUGUUACGCUGAGGAAUGAGGGAUACACCAUUACUGAAUCGGAAGCUGGCAUUUUUUUCCACUGCUUUAUUGAGAAGGUUCUUCUUUGUAUCCCUGAACUGCUUCAAUUUCUAAUGCUGUGCAUUGUUGUAUGUCAUAUUUGACCCAAAGCUGCUAACCAACUUGAAGUAUGGUAGCUGGCAGUUUUUAGCCUAACCUCCCUAGAAGAUGCCAAACUGAUCUUUUCUUUCCUUUAAAGGUGAAGUACUUCAAGAAUGCAUCCGGUUCCAUUUUCUUUUGUGAGUUAACCCAGCUUUUUCUUAGGAGGGAUUGUAGUAUUUCUGGUUGUAUAUUACUUGGAUUGGCUCUCUCAUAUUGAGAAAUUUUGCUAGAGGCAUUCUUCUUCUUGUUCCUCUUCUUUUUUCUUUUUCUAAUAGUGUCAGUAGGCUGGUGGGUAGGUUUUGGCAGUUCUUCUACUUUUUCUUUUUCUUUUUGUAUCAGUGGGUUGGUGGGUUGGUUUUUUGGCAGUACCCUAGUAUGAUAAUUUAUGCAUACUUAUCAUGUAUAUUUGUUUAAUUUAUUUAUGUAUUCGUGUCUAGAAAUACAUGCCAUAAACUUUGAAUUGUUCAAUCAAGGGUCAAUUAAAAAGAUAAAAGUUUGGAAACACAAUUUUGAAAUUGAUUCUGAUUAAACAUAGAAGUUUGAAUACUUUCUAGUAAAAGUUUCGGUUUAUUUAUUUCUUUAUAGUAAGAAACUUGUGAAAUUAUUCGCACACACACUAACUCACAUUUAUAUGAUCUUUCUUCAAAGUUGUGAACUUAGACUCAAAUAACGAGUAACAUCUUAAGGUAAUAUAAGAUGAUGGCAUUUGAAAAAAAAAAGUGAGGUGCAAUGCAAAAAGGAAAGAAAAAAAAAAAGCCUGUUUUUGCAGUUGAAAAGAAACGAAAAAUCUCCAAUGAGAUAGCUGCAAAAAGUUUCUUAUGAAAAAGGCUACCUAGUGAGAUCAGACCGAAAGCUUCCUUGACUCGAAAAAAAUGGGAAUAAGGGAAAAUAGCUGGCUACUCAUUAGAGUGAAAGCCGUCAUAGAAACACAAAAGAAAAAAACAGGAGAGGUUUCAAAAAGAAAAGAGCGAAAAUUCACCUGCUUUUAUAAUCUUUGCAUCUUUUGUGUGAAAUUUAUUUUUGUUUUUGAACACAAAUUUGACACUGAUUAUAUUUAUGUUGAGUUUAUUUCUAAUGCACAUAUAAUGGACUAAGUUGACUACUAUUGAUUUAUAAAUGGGCUAGAAAUCUUUGAACCUAAUUAGGAGAAUUUUUAUAUUUAUAAAGAUAAUAGAAUAAAAAUUUGUGGGUCCAAAUAAUGUUCAAUUUUAUUGUUGAUUUAUUGACACUUCGAAAACUUUGGCAUGUUUAGAUUUAUAUAUUUAUAUAUGUGUCUUUGCAUAUCAUCACAAAAUUGAAAAAUUACAAAAAUAUAUUUCUUUAUAAUUUUGUUUAUUUGUGUCUUUAUUUAUUUAUUUGAUCAUAUGAGAGAUCAUGUAGGGUGUAUGAGGACAUAAAAUUGCAAAAGAAGCAAAUUAGGGCAUUUUUAGGUACGUCGCUCGAAGCCAUAGCAAGGCUCCAUCGAUCGACCCUUGAAAUCAAAUCAAUCGAUGCAAGUGUCACUCAGUUCCAGUGAGUUUUCAACUCGUCUGUGUCUCAUUUGGCCUACCAGCAUCAGUUGGACAGUGUGUUCCUGAAACUGCAUUAAGAAAACGCCGUGGCCACCUAUCAAAACUGUCAGAACAGCGUCUAGAAGUUCCACUGUGCCUCCUUGCCUAUCUCUACAAACCAGAGGUUCUGGUUCUGAUAGCAGGAGCCCUAUCCGCAAUUAUUAAUGAAGAAGUGAGUUGUGCUCAGAAGGAAAGCAUAAUAGUUGGAACUACUCAAGGAUCCUGAUGGAGCAUACUCGCAGCCCCCAACAGUGACAACAAUUGUGGAUAUUAGAGCUGCAGCUUAGCUAGUACACCACGCCAUGGUGGGUGAUCGUGGAAUUCCGCUGUUUGGUCGAUGGAAGCAACGAGUUGCCCUAGCCAGAGUAAUUCUGAAGGCCCCCAAAUUCUACUUCUAAAUGAAUCAACGAGUGCUCUUGAUGCUGAAUCUGAGAGGAUUGUGCAAGAAGCAAUGGAUGGGGUUAUGGUCAACAGGACAACAGUUAGUGUAGCCCAUCGAUUGAGCACAAUGAGGAAUGCCUAUAUGAUUUCCGUGAUUCAUCAAGGAAAGAUGUUUGAAAAAGGCACUUUUAUCCAUUGGAAAGGAACUAAUUGAAGUUCUAGAUGUUCUUCUAAGAUGGUUUGGUAUGCGAUUCUGCGAAUCCAACUCAUCAUGCCUAGUGAAGGUUACUUGAGUUGCUGCUGCUUUAACUGAUGCAAUACUUGCUGUGAAAGAUCAUACGGAUCUUUUUCAUUGGGUAUCGAGGCCACUUACUGGAUCAAGUGAUUUUUCCGAUGCUUCACAUUUGCUAAAACCAGUUGCCUCUGCUAUGACGGAUAAAUCAGCGGAAGUUUGCAAGGGUGCAAAAACUUGCAUUGGUGAAAUUUUAAGAGCUUGCGGACCAGAAACAGUGCGUUGGCUUCAAAAUGCUCAGAAUAUGUGAUUGGUUAUAUAAUUGUAGUUUAUGUUGGCUUUCCUGGCACUUCCAUUCUUUGGAAAGGAACUAAUUGAAGUUCUAGGUGUUUCUUCUAAGAUGGCUUGGUUUGCGAUUCUACAAAUCUAACACAUCACGCCUAUUGAAGGUGCUGGAAUUUCUUCAUGAACUUUUUGUUACGCUGAGGAAUGAGGGAUACACCAUUACUGAAUCGGAAGCUGGCAUUUUUUUCCACUGCUUUAUUGAGAAGGUUCUUCUUUGUAUCCCUGAACUGCUUCAAUUUCUAAUGCUGUGCAUUGUUGUAUGUCAUAUUUGACCCAAAGCUGCUAACCAACUUGAAGUAUGGUAGCUGGCAGUUUUUAGCCUAACCUCCCUAGAAGAUGCCAAACUGAUCUUUUCUUUCCUUUAAAGGUGAAGUACUUCAAGAAUGCAUCCGGUUCCAUUUUCUUUUGUGAGUUAACCCAGCUUUUUCUUAGGAGGGAUUGUAGUAUUUCUGGUUGUAUAUUACUUGGAUUGGCUCUCUCAUAUUGAGAAAUUUUGCUAGAGGCAUUCUUCUUCUUGUUCCUCUUCUUUUUUCUUUUUCUAAUAGUGUCAGUAGGCUGGUGGGUAGGUUUGGCAGUUCUUCUACUUUUUCUUUUUCUUUUUGUAUCAGUGGGCUCGUGGGUUGGUUUUUUGGCAGUACCCUAGUAUGAUAAUUUAUGCAUACUUAUCAUGUAUAUUUGUUUAAUUUAUUUAUGUAUUUGUGUCUAGAAAUACAUGCCAUAAACUUUGAAUUGUUCAAUCAAGAGUCAAUUAAAAAGAUAAAAGUUUGGAAACACAAUUUUGAAAUUGAUUCUGAUUCAACAUAGAAGUUUGAAUAAUUUAUAAUAAAAGUUUUGUUUUAUUUAUUUCUUUAUAGUUAGAAACUUGUGAAAUUAUUCACACAUACCCUAACUCACAUUCAUAUGAUCUUUCUUCAAAGUUGGGAACUUAGACUCAAAUAAAGAGCGUGCUUUUGCAGUUGAAAAGAAACGAAAAAUCUCCAAUGAGAUGGCUGCAAAAAGUUUCUUAUGAAAAAGGCUACCUAGUGAGAUCAGACUGAAAGCUUCCUUGACUCUAAAAAAAAAGGGAAUAAGGGAAAAUAGCUGGCUACUCAUUAGAGUGAAAACCGUCAUUGAAACACAAAAGAAAAAAACAAGAGUGGUUUCAAAAAGAAAAAGAAAAGAGCGAAAAUUCACAUGCUUUUGAAAUCUUUGAUUUUUUUUGUGAAAUUUAUUAUUGUUUUUGAACACAAAUUUGAAAUUGAUUAUAUUUGUGUUGAGUUUAUUUCUAAUGCACAUAUAAUGGACUAAGUUGACUACUAUUGAUUUAUAAAUGGACUAGAAAUCUUUGAACCUAAUUAUGAGAAUUUUUAUGUUUAUAAAGAUAAUAGAAUAAAAAUUUGUGGGUCCAAAUAAUGUUCAAUUUUAUUGAUGAUUUAUUGACACUUUGGAAACCUUGGCAUGUUUAGAUUUAUAUAUUUAUAUUUGUGUCUUUGCAUAUCAUCACAAAAUUGAAAAAUGGCAAAAAUAUAUUUCUGUAUAAUUUUUUUUAUUUUUAUUUUUAUUUUUUAUUUUAUGUCUUUGUUUAUUUAUUUGGUUAUAUGAGAGAUCAUGUAGGGUGUAUGAGGACUUAAAAUUGCAAAAGAAGCAAUUUAGGGCAUUUUUAGGUACGUCGCUCGAAGCCAUAGCAAGGCUCCCUCGUUCGACCCUUGAAAUCAAAUCAAUCGAUGCAAGUGUCACUCAGUUCCAGUGAGUUUGCAUGUGUCAAAUCAAAUCAAUCGAUGCAAGUGUCAAAUCAAUCGAUUCAAGUGUCACUCGUCUCUGUCUCAUUUGGUCUACCAGCAUCAGCUGGACCAAGUGUUCCUGAAACUGCAUUAAGAGAACCCCGUGGCCACCCAUCAAAACUGUCAGAACAGCAUCUAGAAGUUCCACUGCGCCUCGUUGCCCAUCUCUACAAACCAGAGGUUCCUGUUCUGAUAGCAGGAGCCAUAUCUGCAAUUAUUUAUGAGGAAGUGAGUUGUGCUCAGAAGGAAAGCAUAAUAUUUGGAACUUCUCAAGGAUCCUGAUGGAGCAUGCUCUCAGCUCAUAUGAUUUCUAGAAGUGAGCAAGACAAGUCAUAAACUACUACGGAAUCUGGUAGAUAGUCAAGUCAACAAAUUUCAUUCCUGCAUUCCACAAGUUGGGAAUCAUCUGGAGGAGGAAACAAUAAUCAGCUCCCACUCUGUCUCAUAAGGGAGAGUUUGGCUUGGCUGGGUGCUUUUAUAUUUUAUAGAAGUUUUGUUUAGGAAGGUCUUUACGGCAGGCAUCUCCGAUUCUCCUUGCAUGAAUGCAUUUGCUGCUGGUCAAGCUGUUGCAUUACGGAUGUUUGAGACUAUAAAUAAGACGCUAGGGAUAGAUGCAUAUGACAUGAAGGGAAAAGUUUUGGAUGACAUUAGUCCACUAUGAGCGGAGCUUUUUGAGAGGUUGAUGAUGUUAUCAACCAGAUCCGGACAGAGAACGUCACAAAUAUCUAAACCAGGCAACUGAACUCCCUGCUUCUACUUACGCUGUAACCGGAACAUUUGAGGAAGACAGAGAAGGCAAGACUCCUGGAAAUGAAGAAGAACCUUCGACCCAAGACAAACCAAAGGAGAAAUAUGGAACAGAGUGCCUGGAGAUAUAGAGUUAAGUGAUGUCCAUUUUUGUUAUUCAGCCUGACCAGAUGAUCGAAUAUUCAGUGCAUUCUCUCUUUCCAUUCCUAGUUGCACAACUGCAGCUUUGGUUGGACAGAGUGGAAGAGGUUGAGAAUUGGUCUCGUCAGCCAAGAACCUGUGUUGUUUGCAUCCAGCAUUGAGGAUAAUAUUGUGUAUGGGAAGGAUGGGAUAACAAUUGAGGAUAUUAGAGCUGCAGCUGAGCUAGUAAAUUCUGCCAAAUUCAUUGAUAAACUACCUCAGGUACACCGCACCGUGGUGGGUAAGCAUGAAUUCAGCUGUUUGGUGGAUCGAAGCAACGAGUUGCCCUAGCCAGAGCAAUUUUGAAGGACCCCCAAAUUCUUCUUCUAAAUGAAGCAACAAGUGCUCUUGAUGCUGAAUGCGAGAGGAUUGUGCAAGAAGCAAUGGAUAGGCUCAUGGUCAAUUGGACAACAAUUAUUGUAUCCCAUCUAUUGAGCACAAUGAGGAAUGCCUAUAUGAUUGCUGUCAUUCAUCAAGGAAAGAUGUUUGAAAAAGGGGUUUCAUUGGAACCAUCCUCAGAUAAGCUCCUCCCUGAUUUGCACCUCCUGGGGAUGCACAUGUUUGGGCUUCUGUUAGAUCUUAAUGAGACACUAAUAUACUUUGCUUGGAAGGGGAAUGCCACUGUGUCAUGUUCAUGACAGAAAAGUUACAUGGAAUCAUAUGGAAAACGAUGAUGAUAUCUUUGUUUAUAGAGAAGGAACACUGGACCAUAUACAAUUUAUAUUGCAAUAACAAGAAUGAGAACAAUAGCAACAGUGAAGAGAGCUAUUCAAUUAUUAUUGGAGACAAGGGCAAGGAUGCCACUAUUUGCUUUGUUGCGGCUCCUCCUUCCCCGCAACCCAACGCCGAUGCUGGUGGCACUGAUGAAUCACUGCGCGAGCCGCUGAGGCCUCGGCUUCCCUAUCCAACUGGAUGGAAUCCACAUCUCCAUCUACUCUUGGAUGCGUAAACUUCUUCCUUGAGAUGGGUGACAUCUCUGAGCUCUUCCACAUUCAGUAACGCUUAUCUCUCUCUCUCUCUCUCACACACACACACACACCCAUUAAUUUCUCCUUUUUCAAUUAUUAUAUUAUAUUUGUUUCCUACAGUAAUAUCUGACCAGUUCUAGCUUUUGUAAUUUAUCAGUUUUAAAGCCUGACAAAAGCCUUGCAGAUAUUCAAAAGAAUCGGAGUUGCUGCCAUUUUGGAACAUCUUGCCUAGUUUUAUGAAAUUGUAGUGUAUUCAGACCAGGUGACCAAAAAUUUGAAAGAUAUAUGUGGACCUGCCUUGGCUGUUGCUCUUGAACGGCUGCAACCGUCACUAGGACCGAUGUGCCGGAUAUUACAAACAGAAUGGUUAUCCAAAGGUCUAAAUUCUAAGAGCCACGGUUAGAGCAAAUUCAAGAACUUGAGAAUGGUCUUUUGAAGUAUUUCAGAGAAGAUCUGCAUAGGAGGCUUCUUAGCACAAGCUUCAAGAAGCAAGUUGAUGGUAUUGAGAUGCUGCAGAAGGUGCUUUCAUUGUCACAUUUGUGGUUACUUGGACUUUCUCAAAAUAUGUGAUUGGUUAUAUAAUUUUAGUUUGUGUUGGCUUUCCAGUCACUUUUAUCCAUUGGAAAGGAACUAGUUGAAGUUCUAGAUGUUCUUCUAAGAUUGUUUGGUUUGCGAUUAUGGGAAUCUAAGUCAUCGUGCCCAUUGAAGGUGCUGAAAUUCCUUCUUGAACUAUUUGAUACGCUGUGGAAUGAGGGAUAACCAUUAGUGAAUUGGAGGUUGCCAUUUUUUUCCUGUGCUUGAUUGAGAAGGUUCUUUUUGUAGUCCUGAACUACUUCAAUUAGUCCUGUCACCUGUGCCAUUUCUAAUGCUGCAUUGUGGUUGGUCAUGUUUGACUCAAUCCUGCUAACGAAUUUGAAGUAUGGUAGCUGGUAGCUGUUAUCCUAACCUUCCUAGAAGAUGUCAAACCGAUCAGUUCUUUCUUUAAAAGGCGAAGUAGUUUCUUUAAGAAUACAUCUUGUUCGAUUUUCUUAUGUUAGUUGUCUGACCUUUUUCUUAAAAGGAAUUGUAGUAAAUGUGGUUGUAUUUUGUGCAUUAUAGUCAUGCUUGUCUAAGAUUAUGACAAUUCUAUGUCCAUUUUAGGUUAAUGUUGUUGCUGCUGCUUUAACAGAUUCGCUGUGAAAGAGCUUAAGAAUCUUUUUUAUUGGGUAUUGAGGCAACUUACGGAUUAAGUGAUUUUUCUGAUGCUUCACAUUUGCUUAAACCAGCUGCCUGUACUAUGACGGAUAAAUCAGCAGAAGUUUGCAAGGGUGAAAAAGCUUGCAUUGGUGAAAUUUUAAGAGUUUGCAGACCAGAAACAGUGCAUUGGCUUCAAAAUGCUCAGAAUAUGUGAUUGGUCAUAUAAUUGUAGUUUAUGUUGGCUUUCCCGGCACUUCCAUUCUUUGGAAAGGAACUAAUUGAAGUUCAAGGUGUUUCUUCUAAGAUGGCUUGGUUUGCGAUUCUACAAAUCCAACACGUCAUGCCUAUUGAAGAAUUUCUUCAUGAACUUUUUGAUACGCUGAGGAAUGAGGGAUACACCAUUACUGAAUCGGAGGCUGGCAUUUUUUUCCACUGCUUUAUUGAGAAGGAAUUGACCACAGGGAGGAUGAUUGGCAGUGCUAAGGAAAAAGAUGGACUCUAUUAUUUUGAUGAUGGACCUGACUCGAGUAGACGAUGUCAAAGUACUUGCUUAAAUUCUGUUUCCGUUUCCAAAGAUAAUGAUAUUAUGUUAUGGCAUUAUAGGUUAGGCCAUCUUAGUUUUCAGUAUUUAAAAUACUUGUUUCCCAAUUUAUUUCGGAAUAAAAAUCCAUCUGCCUUCUAAUGUGAUGUUUGUUAGUUUGCUAAACAUCAUCGUGCAUCUCCCCACCCAGCCCUACAAACCAACUACACCAUUUACUGUGAUUCAUAGUGAUAUCUGGGCCAUGUAGAACAUCUACGUAUUUUGGUAAAAAAUGGUUUGUGACCUUUAUUGAUGAUCACACGAGAUUUAGUUCGGUUUAUUUGAUGAAGGAAAAAUCUGAAGUGGGAACAAUUUUUCAAAAAAUUUUACACCAUGGUACAAACACAAUUUCAAAAAAAUAUUCAAAUACUGCGGAGUGAUAAUGGUCGAGAAUAUUUCAAAAACAUUUGGGCCAAUUUUUUCUUGAAAAUAGAAUUAUUCAUCAAAGCUCUUGUGUCGACACUCCUCAACAAAAUGGAUUGGUUGAAAGAAAAAACAAACACUUAUUGGAAGUAGCUCUGGCAUUGCUUUUUACCAAUCAGGUAGCUAAAUAUCUUUGGGCUGAAGCCCUUCUUACUGCUACAUAUCUCAUAAAUCGAACGCCUAAUAAGGUUUUAAGCUUUGAAACACCUUUUGAUAUUUUUCAUAAGUUUUAUCCAACAAAUCGGCUUUCUUCUUCUUUACCACUAAAGAUAUUUGGUUGUACCGUAUUUGUUCAUAUUCAGUCCUAAUCGAGGAAAACUUAAACCCCGAGCCACAAAAUGUGUGUUUGUUGGUUGUGCUCCCACUCAAAUGGGGUAUAAAUGUUUUGAACCCAUUUCCAAAAAAAUGUUUGUUACCAUGGAUGUUAUCUUUUUAAAAUUACAUCCCUAUUUCACGCCUCAUCUUCAGGGGGGAAACCAAAACAAAGAUUCGGCUAUUUUUCAUGAUUUUUUCCAAACUGAAGACUCGCAAAAUGAUCCUUCUCCAACUUUGAUUAUUUAACUUGAAACCCAAGCUUUAUGAUACCAGGAGAAAGUGAGUUGAGUUUUUUAGAUACUGAAAAGGCAGGCUUCCUACAGUGCCAUCUUAUGAUGUUUAUGAUCCUAUAACGACUAACAAAGGAGAAACAAGAAAAAGAAACACAGCGUUGGUACCAUUUGACAUUGUCUUCUCGCGACAGAGGACAACUCGAGAGAAAGGGUCUCCAAUCCUUUGCAUUGCCCAGAUUCCGUAAACCCUUCAGGUAAUGUCCUCACUGAGCCUUUACCUUAUGUUUAGCCCAUUUCAUCUUCUAGUUCUUAGUCCUCUAGUUCUGAACCCGAGUCUAAUUCCAAUCCUGAGUUCGAUGAUUCUAAACUUCCCAUUGUUGUCCGGAAGGGUGUGAGGUCUUGCACCCAGCAACCAUUAUCUAAUUAUGUGUCAUAUGAACAUCUCACCUGUUUUUCGUGCUUUUACCUCACAAUUGUCUUGUAUGGAGAGAUUCCUAAUACUAUGCAGGAUGCUCUGAAAGUUCCUGAGUGGAAGGAGGCUGUCUUUGAGGAGAUGAAAGCUCUUGAAAAAAAUGACACAUGGGAAUUAGUUGAUCUACCAUGAGGAAAGACAAUUGUAGGGUGCAAAUGGGUGUUUACAGUCAGGUAUAAAUCUGAUGGCUUUCUAAAACAGUAUAAAGCUCGAUUGGUUGCCAAGGGAUUCACUCAGAUCUAUGGCAUUGAUUACUUGGAGACAUUCGCCCUAGUCGCGAAGCUAAACUCUGUAAGAGUUCUUUUGUCACUUGCAGCUAAUUAUGACUGGCCUCUGGAACAGUUGGACGUAAAAAAUGCAUUCCUCAAUGUAGACCUGGAGGAAGAAGUGUACAUGGAUGCAUCUCCAAGAUUUGGUGAAAAGUUUGGCACAAAGGUGUGUAAACUGAAGAAGUCCUUAUAUGGGUUGAAACAGUCACCAAGAACUUGGUUUGAGAAAUUCACUCAGUUUGUUAAAAGCCAGGGGUAUACUCAAGGGCAAUGUAAUCAUACGAUGUUUAUAAGACAUUUACAGGAUAGGAAGAUAGCGAUAUUGAUUGUGUAUGUUGACAAUAUAAUUCUCGUACUUGAGAUGAACCGAUUGAAGACUUCCCUCUCAGUAACAUUUGAGAUUAAGGACUUAGGAUCUCUGAGGUAUUUCCUUGGAAUGGAGGUUGCUCGGUCGAAGAAAUGGAUUGUUGUCUCCCAACGGAAGUAUAUCCUUGACCUUAAGGAGACUGGGAUGAGCGGUUGUAGGCCAGCAGACACUCCAAUCGAUCCCAAUCAGAAACUUGGAGGUGACAAGGAAGGUGGUCAAGUGAAUACAACUCGGUAUCAAAAGUUGGUGGGAAAGUUAAUUUACCUAUCACAUACGCGGCCCGAUAUUGCUUUUGCUGUGAGUUUGGUAAGCCAGUUUAUGCAUUCACCCUACAAGAAACAUCUUGAAGCAGUUUAUCGGAUUCUCAGAUAUUUGAAAAGUACACUAGGCAACAGCAGAAUAUAGAGGCAUACACUAAUGCAGAUUGGGCAGGCUCAGUUAUUGGUAGGAGAUCCAUGUCAAGAUAUUGUACUUAUGUUUAGGGAAAUCUGGUCACAUGGCGAAGCAAGAAACAGAAUAUGGUUGCAAGGAGCAGUGACGAGGCAGAAUAUAGGGCUAUGGCUAAUGGAGUUUGUGAGAUACUAUGGUUGAAGAGAAUUCUUGACGAGCUGCGGAUGCCGAUUUACAUGCCAAUGAAGUUGUAUUGUGACAACAAAGCUGCCAUAAGUAUUGCACAAAAUCUAGUACAACAUAAUUGCAUGAAGCAUGUGAAGAUUGACACACACUUCAAAAAAGAAAAGAUUGAUAAUGGAGCUAUUUGCAUGCCUUUUGUUCCUACUACUCAACAAAUAGUCGAUAUCUAUGCUCCAACUUGAUGGGGGUGUCGGAUUUCUGGGAAAUAAAUUCGGAAAUUCUAUUUUUGCAAAUAAAAUCUGAAAUUACUAUUUCAGAUUUUAGUAGUUUCCGUUUCCUAUUUUCUAGCCUAGAGAUUUGCUGAUUUGAUUUGCUGAUUUUGUGGGCUUCCUGAUUUGGUGGCUUUCCUCUACUAUUUAUCUUGUAAUUGUCUCUCUUGAAAGAUAUGAAGACUGAUUAUUUUUCAUCUUAAAAAACCUUCAGGCUACCUAGUGAGAUCAGACCGAAAGCUUCAUUGACUCGAAAAAUAGUUGAAAUUAGGGAAAAUAGCUCUCUGCUCAUUAGAGUGAAAGCCGUCAUAGAAACAUAAAAGAAAAAAAACAAGAGAGGUUUCAAAAAGAAAAAGAAAAGAGCGAAAAUUCGCAUGCUUUUGAAAUCUUUGAAUCUUUUGUGUGAAAUUUAUUUUUGUUUUUGAACACAAAUUUGAAACUGAUUAUAUUUGUGUUGAGUUUAUUUCUAAUGCACGUAUAAUGGACUAAGUUGACUACUAUUGAUUUAUAAAUGGACUAGAAAUCUUUAAACCUAAUUAUGAGAAUUUUUAUGUUUAUAAAGAUAAUAGAAUAAAAAUUUGUGGGUCCAAAUAAUGUUCAAUUUGAUUGAUGAUUUAUUGACACUUCGAAAACCUUGGCAUGUUUAGAUUUAUAUAUUUAUAUAUGUGUGUCUUUGCAUAUCAUCACAAAAUUGAAAAAUGACAAAAAUAGAUUUCUUUAUAAUUUUGUUUAUUUGUGUCUUUAUUUAUUUAUUUGAUCAUAUGAGAGAUCAUGUAGGGUCUAUGAGGGCAUAAAAUUGCAAAAAAAAAAAAGUUAUUUAGGGCGUUUUUAGGUAUGUCGCUCGAAGCCAUAGCAAGGCUUCAUCGAUCAACCCUUGAAAUCAAAUCAAUCGAUGCAAGUGUCACUCAGUUCUAGUGAGUUUGCAACUCGUCUCUGUCUCAUUUGGUCUACCAGCAUCAGCUAGACCGAGUGUUUCUGAAACUGCAUUAAGAAAACCUCGUGGCCACCUAUCACAACUGUCAGAACAGCGUCUAGAAGUUCCACUGCGCCUCCUUGCCUAUCUCUACAAACCAGAGGUUCCGGUUUUGAUAGCAGGAGCCAUAUCUGCAAUUAUUAAUGAAAAAGUGAGUUGUACUCGGAAGGAAAGCAUAAUAUUUGGAACUACUCAAGGAUCCUGAUGGAGCAUACUUGUAGCCCACAAGAGUGACAACAAUUGAGGAUAUUCGAGCUGCAGCUGAGGUACACCACACCAUGGUGGUUGAGCAUGGAAUUCAGCUGUUUGGUGGAUGGAAGCAACGAGUUGCCCUAGCCAGAGCAAUUCUAAAGGACCCCCAAAUUCUACUUCUAAAUGAAGCAACGAGUGCUCUUGAUGCUGAAUCUGAGAGGAUUGUGUAAGAAGCAAUGGAUAGGGUUAUGGUCAACAGGAAAGGAACUAAUUGAAGUUCUAGAUGUUCUUCUAAGAUGGUUUGGUGUGCGAUUCUGUGAAUCUAACUCAUCAGGCCUAGCGAAGGUUACCUGUGUUGCUGCUGCUUUAACAGAUGCAAUACUUGCUGUGAAAGAUCAUACGGAUCUUUUUCAUUGGGUAUCGAGGCCACUUACUGGAUCAAGUGAUUUUUCUGAUGCUUCACAUUUGCUAAAACCAGUUGCCUCUGCUACGACAGAUAAAUCAGUGGAUGUUUGCAAGGGUGCAAAAACUUGCAUUGGUGAAAUUUUAAGAGUUUGUGGACCAGAAACAGUGCGUUGGUUUCAAAAUGCUUAGAAUAUGUGAUUGGUUAUAUAAUUGUAGUUUAUGUUGGCUUUCCCGGCACUUCCAUUCUUUGGAAAGGAACUAAUUGAAGUUCUAGGUGUUUUUUAUGGCUUGGUUUGCGAUUCUACAAAUCUAAUUCAUCAUGCCUAUUGAAGGGGCUGGAAUUUAUUCAUGAACAUUUUGAUAUGCUGAGGAAUGAGGGAUAUACCAUUACUAAAUCGGAAGCUGGCAUUUUUUUCCACUGCUUUAUUGAGAAGGUUCUUCUUUGUAUCCUUGAACUGCUUCAAUUUCUAAUGUUGUGCAUUGUUGUAUGUCAUAUUUAACCUAAAGCUGCUAACGAACUUGAAGUAUGGUAGAUGGCAAUUUCUAACCUAACCUCCCUAGAAGAUGCCAAACUGAUCGUUUCUUUCCUUAAAAGGUGAAGCACUUCAAGAAUGCAUCUGGUUCCAUUUUCUUUUGUGAGUUAACCCAGCUUUUUCUUAGGAGGGAUUGUAGUAUUUCUGGUUGUAUAGUACUUGGAUUGGCUCUCUCAUAUUGAGAAAUUUUGCUAGAGGCAUUCUUGUUCUUCUUCCUCUUCUUUUUUCUUUUUCUAAUAGCGUCAGUAGGCUGGUGGGUUGAUUUUUGGCAGUUCUUCUUUUUCUUUGUCUUUUUCUUUUUCUUUUAUUAUAAGUAGGUUGGUGGGUUGGUUUUUUGGGAGUUCCUGUUGGGAAACGUGCAAAUUUUAAAAAAAUUUCGAGAGAUUUUGAUUCAUAGAUCUUAAUUCAUCACAUAGAGACAAGUUUUAUGCAAAAAUAAAACAUGAUGUAUCAUUCAAUUAAA